GAUGAACGCUAGCGGCAGGCCUAACGCAUGCAAGUCGAGGGGCAGCACAAAGAUAGUUUACUAUUUUGGUGGCGACCGGCGCACGGGUGAGUAACGCGUAUGCAACCUACCUUAUACAGGAGUAUAGCCCGAAGAAAUUCGGAUUAAUCCUCCAUAGUAUUUUCUAAUGGCAUCAUUUGGAAAAUUAAAGCUUCGGCGGUAUAAGAUGGGCAUGCGUCCUAUUAGCUAGAUGGUAAGGUAACGGCUUACCAUGGCAACGAUAGGUAGGGGGCCUGAGAGGGUGAUCCCCCACACUGGUACUGAGACACGGACCAGACUCCUACGGGAGGCAGCAGUGAGGAAUAUUGGGCAAUGGAGGCAACUCUGACCCAGCCAUGCCGCGUGCAGGAAGAAUGCCCUAUGGGUUGUAAACUGCUUUUAUUUAGGAAUAAACCCUUCUACGUGUAGAAGGCUGAAUGUACUAAACGAAUAAGCACCGGCUAACUCCGUG
rnacentral:rRNA from 1 species